UGCAACCUGAGCUCAGGCGUGAUUACCCGCUGAACUUAAGCAUAUCAUUUAGCGG
rnacentral:rRNA from 5 species